GAUUCCAGUGCUAAAUGCGGAAAUACGGCUUGGCUGAGUGCCGCGUUCGGCAGGGCCAGCUCACAGGAACAGCCGGGCUGCCAGGCCAUGACCCAGGGCCUGGGAACACAGUGAGGCCUGGCCAUGCUGCGAGGCCUCUGAGGGGCGGACUGCUCAGGAGGCCAACGACCUUCCCAAGGGCGGGCAGUCAGGGAAGGGCCAGCAGCAUGCCCGCUGUGUCCUCACGCGGGCCCUCCCUCCCUGGGACCCUCCCAGUGCCAGCCUCCCGCCUGGGCCAGGCUGGGAGCUCCCUGACCGCUCAGGUCCCUGGGCUGCUCCCGCAAGCCUGACUCUGACGGUGUCUGCUGCACAUCAUCCGCGGAGUCCCCAUUUCACAGCCAGGAAACAGAGGACGGGGGAAGUCAACUGGAGGUCACGUGGUGGCGAGUGACGGAGUUGGUGUUGCAGGCAACCACUGGACAGAGCCACAGCCACACUCUCCCCAGCACACCCCACUGCCCCUGUGCUGGGGGACUGCUCCCCAUUUCACAGAUGGGGAAACCAAGGCUGGUGGGAGGAGCAGCAGGAGUACAUCCGUGGACUGUAAGUCAGCACCCGGCCUGCACACGCAGCCCCAAUCCCCGUAGUGAGGUUUGCCUCCCCGGCAUGAACCAGGAACGUCCAGCCUUAUCGGGAGGCUGGCACCAAAAUCCAUUCUAUGUGGGUGAAGGCACCUAUAGGGAGCAUGCAUGGGCCAUGGGAGGUGUGCCCUCACCAGCCUGAGAAUCACGGAGGGCUUCCUGACCGCUAACCUGAGUCCUGAAGGGCAAAGAGCAGAGAUAAAGCAGGGCUGUGGCGUGAGGAGAAGCGUGCACAGCAUCCACAGUUGCAGCAAAUGAGAGCAAAAUGGACGGCCGUUCGAAAUCGUUGAGCUUUUAAGAGAAGUCCCCUCAGAGCUCUGGGGAAGGGCGGCAAGCUCUGGGUGAUGGAAGCUGGCCGGGGGAGAAGGGCUCCAUGGAGCGCUGGCCUGUAUGCGUCCGUGGGGAGCUAACUGGAAAAUGAAGCUUCCACAAGGACAUGCGGCUGGCUUUUAGAAUGGGCUUGAAACCAAAAGACACAGGCAAGAUGCCCUCCAUAGGGAGAAGCUGGGAAAUAAUUGUCGGAGAAGGUCAAAGGUGCUGGCGCUAUUGUCCUGGGACGCCUCCUGGCUCUGCUGACCUUGGCUCUGCUGACCUUGGCUCUGCCGACCUUGGCUUAGCCAAGCUCAAGGUCUUGAGGCCUUCCUGGUGCUGAGUUGGUGUAGGAUGGGCCUCAGACCUGGUACAUCUGCUUCUCUCACUUCUGGCUUUGUCUCCACCUCCACCACUCCUGAUUGUCCGAGGGAGUAACAAGAAACUCACACACACAGACAUGUACAUGUGUGCACACGAAUAGCACACACACCCAUAUGCAUAUACAGAGACAUGCACAGGUGCUCACUCACAUAUACAUGCAACACACAUGGGUGCAUUCAUGCGUGCACACACAGGCAUGCGUGUACACAGACGUGUGCAAGCACACACGCGUAUUUGUACAUGCGUAUACACAUGCGCUAACACAGGUGCCACACACGUACACAUGUGCACACACAUGCCUGCUCACAUGUACGUGUAUGCACACACAUGCAGACACAAGCACACGCCCUUGUGCACACAGGUAUGGCAGGCCCCAGGUGGCAGGCAGGCUUCACCAGGGACUUGGUGUGGAGCUGGCGGCUCCCACCCCUGCCUUUCUCUGCUGAGCAAGGAGGUGGAGCCGUGACCUUGGGGAACUCCCAACUCCCAUCCGUGGGCGGCACACAGACCCUGGCUGAAAGUCGGACAGAUUUGCUCACUCUGGUUUCCGGGAUUCCAAGGGGAGACUGCAGGGACCUCCCAGCGACGUGAGAGGACACAACCCUGACAGACGCACCAGUCCUCUUUCUGUCAACCAGUGGAAUCCAAGAAAAAGCAGCCCCUCGCCGGCCGUGUGCCCACGGCUGGCUUAGGCCACCUUCCUGCCCUCCUGUCCCUCGCUCCAGGGUGUGCCAGGCGUGUUCUGAGUGUGGGUGCAGGCAGCACCGGGCUCGAGAAGGAGUGAUGUACAGAUGGACAGCUGUCCUGCCUACUGGCCUAAGCGGUCAGUCCCUCAGCUACAUGGGCCAGGGCCGUGGGAGGCUCCAGAAACAUGGCCACUGCCCACAGCACCGGCAUUUGCAGUAGGUGUGUGGAAGCAGCUGCAGGCCAGAGGCAGGAGCCAGGGAAACGUGGCGCCCCAGGCCGUCUCGUCCCCUCUGGGCCUCCAUCUCCCCAGCUGCGCCGUGGCUUGAUGGACCAGGACAUCUCCCUGGGGGUGGCAGCCAUGUUGCCCUCUGCCAGAAGCAUCCUGUGAGCCCCAGGGCACAGGCCGGCUUCCCCUCCAGGGCUGUACAUUUGCCUUUCAGGAGCCAGAGUUGAGCAGCUCCUGGCUGGGUGUUGGGAACCCUGCCCCAGGCCCAUGGACAGACAGCACAGUCAGCCUCUUGGAAGUCUCAGAAAAUGUAUUACCCAUCACAGGGAUGGUUUCCUGUCUCUGCAGAUACUUCACUCUCCCCUCCCCCGACUCCUCCUCCUGGGCCACUUCCCGGAAGCGCUCAUCCCCAUGCCCACAUGAACACAAACCUCCACCCAGCACUGACCAAGAGCCAGGCCCUACCCCAGGACCUCACAGAUGUCACCUUAGCGGUCCUUUCAGCAACCGAAUGAGGUAGGACUAUCAUUAUCCCCUCUUCACAGAUGGGGAAACUGAGGCAUGGAGCUGUGAAGUGACUUGCCCAAGGCCCCACCGGCAGCCAGUGGCAGAGCCAGGUGCCCCCCAAGAUGUUCACGCCCUAAUCCUCAGGAUCUGCAAACUUGUCACCUUUCAUGGCAAAAGGUCUUUGCAAAUGUGAUGAAACAUCUUAAGAUGGCAAGAUUCUCUUAGGUGACCUUAGGUCCAAGGUAAGCCCAAGAGUCUUUAUGAAAGGAAGAAGGUAUUUGUUGAUGUCUCUUUCAUUCCUGGUGAUCACUCGAUGAAUACAGAGUUGGCCAGAUUUCUCCACUGAAAAGUUACUGUGUUUCCUUUUGUCAUUAACGAGUAUCUUUUUGGGCGAUACUUUGAAACUUUGUAAAUAUCGUAUUACUCAAAUUUUCACCCACUAAUUUUAGCAUCCUUAGAUGACUCCGCCUGGAUCGGUUAUUAUUAUAAUGGUUAUUAAAUGGUGAUUCCAUCA